GGGCACCCGUGGCCACAGCUGUGCCGGCCCCGCUCGCCUGCUGAGCACGGCUUGGGUGAGCGGGACGGUGUGGGAAGCGUGUGCAGGCAGACCCAAAGGUGUGCCGCGGGCAGUCUGGCUGCCUUCUGCAAAGCGGAGUCGAUUGUAGCAGCCUGAGCUCUGCGACAGCUGUGUCUGCGGUGGGGUGGCUGCCAUGCAGCACGACUUCUCACUGGAGGCAAACCCACGUGCCUAGGCCUUGUGUGUCAGGAUCUGUGGGCUUCACACCAGUGCCUGUGACCACAUGGGUUCUGCACUUGUGCGGUGCUCAGCCACGUGGUCCCAAAAGGGGUGUGAUCACUCACCUGAAAUCUGCUUCCCCUCCAGGUAUUGCUGAGCUGACUUUCUGCACAGCAGUCUUGGGGGAAGAGCACGAGUUCGUAGCCUUUAAUGAAACAGUUUGCGCUGAAAUGAAAUAGGAGUCAUUAGUCACUCACAAAAAAAUAAAUAAAUGAUUGCAAGCAUUUUUCCAGGUCAGCCACGUGGCUGUGCAAAAACUGGUGGCAAUUUUCUCUGUCAAAUACAUAGUUUAUUUUAGAAGACUUUGUGUUUGACAUCUGAGCAUUUGACAACGCUGUAAAAUGUAAGAUAGAAAUAUUGGUCUCAGUUAUGCAGUUCUUAAAUGGGGGCUGUGGAAACCUGAAUCAUAAAAAAGAUGCCAUAGCUACAGCAGACCUUAGUAUCUGUACAGAAAUGAGAUGUGGAAACAGCAAUAAGCAAAAGCAAGCUGACUGCAAGGAUCAGCCUAGGAUCAAAACGCUGCUGUGGAAGUUGAUAGAAGUCAGAACUGCAGCAUCCUGUAGACAAUGAAAGGAACAACUUUUUGGUGUAUUUAAAAAAAAGAAGAAAAGGACACAGAUGAAAUCGCAGCUGUUUUUAAAUAAUGGUCUUGGCAAAUCUUGCAAGCAGGAAAAACAUAGUAUGAAACUGAACACCUGGUUGCAGAAAUGCUCAGGACACAGACACUGCUUAAGAGAAGCAAGAAAGAAGCUUAGAAGAUCUCCUUCUGGAAAUGAAACACAAAAAGUUUAACAAAUUGUGGAAUAACUAAAUGAAAGCUCCAGAUCCAUAUACCUUACUACAGAGAGAAAAAACAUCCCAAUACCUUUGCAGUGUCAGUGGGAUAAAUGGAAAUUCUGGGAUGCCAAAUGCCCUCCAAUUUCUUCAUUGUCAAUUUAAUUUGAGAAAAAUGUGAUGCCAUUAACUUAUGAAAUAUUUUACAAGCUCUUACUGUAGGAGACAAUCAAGCACUCCACAUCACUCUUUAACAUCACAGGCAUGUAAAAAGGAGGGGAAAACAGUUGGGCAUUUUUUUUUAUGUGGAACAGAUUACAGGCUACCAGGUAGGCAGAUAGCUUGUGCGUCUGAAAUAAAUUCCCUGUAACACAUCUUCCCUUCUGACUUCUUCUAGUGCAUUCUUCAAGCGUAGGAGCUACACAAAACAAUCAAGCUCUUUUGCUCUUUUCACCUCCCCAGGAGGACGUUGGCAAACAUCAAAGGCUAAGCACUGGAAUGCCGAGGGUGACAGCGGUGUGAAUUUUCUUCUGCUCCUUCAAUCCCUCUCUCAGCUAUGGACUUCAGGACUGAGGAUGUCUCAAUUUUACAUCCUGCUGCAAAAUGAGACUGCUGGUAUGGAUCCCUAGGGUCAUACGGGACCAGGCUGCUUAGGUGGAGGGGACGCGUCCCACACAACUUGACUCGGCUACAGCAUUCAGAACGUUACCGACAAGGAGAGCACAGUUACAGGCACACGUUUGUAAGUCUGCAAACUGCAGUACUGCUGCUGUGUUUAUAAGGAUGCUACUGCCAGAGGCCUUCAAGGAUCAUACUUUUGCUUUCCGGUUUUUUUUUGUUUUUUUUUUUUUUUUUUAAAGAUUUCUCCU